CCCCCAAUUGUUAGUUUUAAAUGAUUUAUUUCAAUUUGUUUUCUUUUUAAUUUGUUCCUGCGGAAAAACGCUGAGGUAAGCCGGCGGUCGAGAGUGUUUAUAUUUUGAUAUAAACAUUUAGUCCUUCUAGCCGGUAGGUGAGGUCAACUUUCACCAUCGAUUUUCCAGGAAAACAAACUCAUCCAACAUUAUUCAUCAUCCAACAAACAUAGAGAGAGGAGUAUUCAAAGCAAUCACCAACCAACAAGGAAUUAAAGCCAAAUAAUAAAUACGUAUAUCAGCAGAAACAAUUACGUGCAAAUAAAAAAAACCUUACAUAAUGGAAUUAGUAAAAAUCAAUUCGUCAUCUUCUCCAGCACCAUUGGUUUAGCCAAUAUCUUAACCAAAACGUUAUCUACCAGCCAAGGCGCUUUCUAGACGCCAAUUAUGAACGCCGGCUCCGUCUCAUUUUGUUGCAUUAGUAUUGUUCACGUUGUUUAGUAUAUUCUCAUAUUGCGAAGAGAUGUCAAAGCAAAGGCUCGUGCGCGUAUUGCAAUGAGGACGAUCACACCUUGUUUCAUGUCGAUCAUCGUCUCACCCCCCGUCGUCAACUUCCACCUUCCACAGCGCUUCGCGAUCCUUGUUCGCAGACCAGCAAAAUUUGCAAAUCUUUGGUUAAAAAAAUUACGUGGACCGUACUAGUGGCAAAUUUAGAGAGGUGUGAGAUCGUAAUGGGAUCAUCCAGUGAAUCACGCGUAAGAUUUUUAUUGACUGUGACAAUAAUACAAGAGAUCGGCUCGAAGACUCCAGCGCGCCAUCUGAAUUCAUCUGUAGCGGAGAAGUUUACAAAUGUAAAGUUAGCGGAUUGAACAUUGAUUGAGCAUUGAACUAUUUUACGUUUUUUUCUAUUUGUUGCAAUUCUCUAAUACUGCAAGGCUGGCGGUAAUGUUAAAGCCAAAAGCCACUGGAAGUUUGCCGUCACCUUGUUAUUUACUAACACUGAAGUCGGAAAAUUACCGGUGAUGCUUAUUAUCAUAUUUUGAUGGUAUUUAAGCUAAUGUUCCGCUAAAAACGGGCUCACUUUUCUAAAGACGGCUACAACAGCGGACCUUAGCGAACAAAGCAAAUAAGCGAACUUUAUGUAGAGUGGGAAAACGCUGAGGUGAAUCGGCGUUCGCGAGAGUUUAUAUUUUGAUAUAAACACUGUGUUUGCAGGUUUUUAGUUUUCGAGAACUGUCAAGUGUUUUCACUGGAUGUUUACUGAGUUUAGAACUGUUAUUUAUAUUUGUUUACUAAUUUUCAUUGUUA